rfam:Asian citrus Psyllid, Diaphorina citri - Florida Strain, whole genome shotgun sequence.
GCCUAGUUAGCUUAGUUGGUAGUGCGUCUGCCUUGUAAGCGCUAGGCCGCGGGUUCGACUCCCGCCCGGGGCG